CCUACGGGUGGCAGCAGUGAGGAAUAUUGGUCAAUGGACGAGAGUCUGAACCAGCCAAGUAGCGUGAAGGAUGACUGCCCUAUGGGUUGUAAACUUCUUUUAUAUGGGAAUAAAACGUUCCACGUGUGGGAUUUUGUAUGUACCAUAUGAAUAAGGAUCGGCUAACUCCGUGCCAGCAGCCGCGGUAAUACGGAGGAUCCGAGCGUUAUCCGGAUUUAUUGGGUUUAAAGGGAGCGUAGGUGGAUUGUUAAGUCAGUUGUGAAAGUUUGCGGCUCAACCGUAAAAUUGCAGUUGAAACUGGCAGUCUUGAGUACAGUAGAGGUGGGCGGAAUUCGUGGUGUAGCGGUGAAAUGCUUAGAUAUCACGAAGAACUCCGAUUGCGAAGGCAGUUCACUGGACUGCAACUGACACUGAGGCUCGAAAGUGUGGGUAUCAAACAGGAUUAAAUACCCCAGUAGUC
rnacentral:rRNA from 1 species